rnacentral:lncRNA from 1 species
CAGGCGACAGAGCAACAACUGUGAACAUGAUAAUAUUGAUAAAACAUUCCCAAAUUAACUAUGAGACGUUUUGGAAAUGCUACAAACUACUACAUACAUGAAAAUUCGUUAGUAUACGACAAAUCAAAACUGGAAAAUAUCAGUAUUAGUAGUCUUUUAGUUCGAUAAUAUUGAAUUUGUGAGAUACUAAUUAUCUAAAUUGGCAGA